rnacentral:lncRNA from 1 species
UUAAGUUCAUAUGAUAUACAUACAAUUACAUAAAAUAUGAUUUGCUACUCACUUAAAAUGCUUGUCAAGUUUUUAUUUUAAAAAUUAACAAAAAGUUACAUCCAAAAUUUUUUAAAAAAAUAACUAAAUUAAUGCUUUUUUAGUUUUUAAAUGUUGUGUCCAAAUUUAUUAACCAUUCAAUUUAUUAAAAAUAAAUAAUUAGUUAAGUGAAAAUUAUAUUUUUAAAUACAAAAAAUGUGAGAAAAUGAAAAUUUUAAGUUUUUAUUCAAAAUCUAAAUAUCCGAACCCGAUCCGAAAUAACCGAAUCCGAACUAAAAAUAUCCGAACCCGACCCGAAGUAUAGAAAUACCCGAACGGGUUCUACACCUCUAUACCGAAAUACCCAAAAAU